ACCCAGCUUCCUACCUUUCGAAGUGCCUGGGCGACGAGGCCCGAACCUCAGCCUGUCUCGCGUCCCCGCCCUUCGCAGACCGACGCUGGCUCCUGUGGACGGCCGAGCGCCCGCGAGCUGUCGUCGAAGGAAGGGCUGCGCGCGCAGCCAGCACCUGAGUCCCGGCGCCUCCUACACCGACCUGUAAUCCUUUCCCAGCCGACGUUCCGCGUGCCUUUCCUGUCAUUUAACUGCCCUGAAGAGUAAAGAUGACGUCUUUUGGGACGGUCAUUAAGUUUUCCGUUUCCUCAUUCCAGAAUGUCUGCUGAGCAGUUAAAUGCAGUCAGCGAUAAAGGCACCGAGCCCGAGCUCGCUGUGUUCUCUCCGUGGUGGUUUAAGGAAGUGGGCGGCUUCUGAGGACUGUGACCUCGGGGAGAGGGGCCCUGUGAAUGCUAGAGCCCUGGUAAAUCGCUGCCGGUGACUUACCACCCUUAAUCCCUGCACUCGGGAGGCACAGGCAGGUGAAUCUCAGAGUUUGAGGCCAGCCUGGUCUACAGAGCGAGUUCCAGGACAGCCAAGGCCUGUCUCGACCCCCACCCCCAGCUCCACCCCAGCGCCCCCCAAAAACUCCUGAUUCAUCAAACACUGGUGAGACCCACACUCAGUAACGCCCUGCUUUUGUCGCCGGUACUAUUACAGUUUGUUUGGCAUCCUGUAAAAGCAGUUUUAUUCUGUUCGCAGAGCAGACCUGCGAAAGCUUUGCUUAUUUUAACACCCCUGAUUCUCAAAUAGCAUUGACCCAGGGGAGCUGGAGAGAGGGCUCAGGGGUUAAGAGCAUUUACUGCCCUUCCACAGGAAGGUAUGUUCGGAUCCCACACGUUCCGGCUCUGUGGGGAUUCGCACACGCGUGUCAUAUGUUCACAGAGACACACACACAACACUGAGGGUUGAAUCUGGAGCCUCCUGAAUGUGAUGCAAGGGCUCCUACCACUGACGCUGAGCUACCCACCACCACCUCUGCGUCUCAGCAAAUCCCUCACACACACCUGUUGUGAAACGGCCUUGAAUUUUGGUCUUCCUAUCACAAGCCAUGGAACAGCUGAGACUACGUGGGAUUACAGACCUACACCACCAGACCUGGGUCAGGCCUGGCUUUAGCAAACUCUUCUUUCUUCAUUUCAUUUAUUUAUUUUUGUUUCCUAGAGACAGGGUUUCUCUGUGUGCCCUGGCUGGACUGGAACUCUGUAGAGCAGGCUGGCCUCAAACUCACAUCUUCAGUAGCAGAGCAUAAAUAGGGUCAGUUGUCAGUAUCAGCUCUACAGUUUUGUUGAAACCGUUUCUUUUGUUGCAGGAAAGGUAUCCCACGGUAGGUAAGAUGGUGCCCACCUUCCAUUCCCUUAUCAUGAGGUUGAGACAGGAUGAUGUCUCAAGUUUGAGGCCAGCCUGGUUUACACAGAAUGUUUCAGGACAACCUGAGCUAUGUAGUAAGACCAAAUUUCCUUCGUUGCCCUCCCCCAAAGGAGCACUCUGGCUAUCCCUGGAGCACCACACCUGUAAGAACACAGGUUAGCAACGGAUGCUGCUGGGUUCUGCCACUUUACUUCCUGUUCAGCUUCUUCCCUCCAUUUGCAUAUCUUCUGCAUGUCAGGGAGAAUAUUUUUCCUCUAAUAUUUUUAGUGGAAAUGUAGAGAGGAAGGACAAAAGCCCACAUUUCUUCAACAUUUCAACCAACAACCUCAUUUUCUUCCAACAGUUGAAGGGAAGUUCUUAUGAAUAAUGGAUGAUUGCCUGAUGAAUAUGCACACAGUCCAUUAUGCCUGUGAGGUCUGGUAAAUAAUUUAUGAGCUAAAAUGUUCUUCACCUUGCUACUGUACAAAAACUUAAAAAAAAAACCCACAGCGUAUUUACCCUUUGAACUGCAAGGAGAUCUGUCAGAGUCGGUGACUGCAAUACAACUUUACAUCACCGCUAAAAUUAGCUAGAAAGCACUGUGUAUGCAUUUCAGAGAGAGUCUAAAAUGGAGCUUGCUUUGGCUAGACUCCUUGCUGCAUGCACGUUUUCUAAAAUUUUGCCUCCUCACCUUAAGGUAGCCACACAUCGUCAACGGCACGGAUUCCUCCAUGGGCCAGGCUCCUCACGGGACUUCCGUAUGACCUGUGAGACUCACUCUUCUCCCUUGUAUUGUGAAAACUGGCUCAGACUGCCUUGGCCAUGACCUGCUGUUCUAGUCUUCACAGCUGAGACUGUCCUGUCGUGUCCCCUCCCCCCUGCGACCGUGACCUGAACCACUGCUGUGUCACCCUUUGGCUCACAUCCCCUCAGUGGCAGGAGUGGGUGUCCUUAACCUGGUGGCGAGAAUGAGCAGGGCCAAGGUGUCCAAGGGAGGUGUUUGGAAUACGUUCGUGGAUCCUGGCCCUGUUGUAUGAUGUGUUUAACACGACUUGAAACUGGGUCAGGUUGUGGAAGGUGGGAACCUGAGGUUUAUCUGCAAUGAUCUGAUGGGCUUUCUAGGCACCACGCCAAAGGUGUGCACUGUGCUCUCCACAGCUUGCAGGUUGUGUGCCUGUAGGAGAUGAAGAGAAGGCGGGGAAAGGCCUUGUCUGUCUUCUGGGUAAACUAUAGACAUUUUCAAGGAACAGAGGAGCUGGCAUGAGGCUCAGAGGGUAAAGGUGCCUGGUGCUAGGUUCCCUACUGGAAAUUGAUUCCCCAGAAUCUACCCAUGUGGUUGAAGGAGAGAACCGACUCCCUUAAGUUGUCCUCUGCCAUCCAAAGGAGGACCCUGACACUCUGCUCUCUCUGCACCCCCAGUAAAUACAGUAAACAAAAACAGAAUAAAUUACCUACAAACUAUAUUACAAAGUUAGUGGGGUAGUGAUGUAAUUAAAGCGAAAAUCCUUUGAUAACAA